ensembl:lncRNA
AUGAGGGAUAAAUCCUUGAAAACGUGGUUUGUACUGCCAUAUAUAUGCUUGAAAACAAAGCAGCUGUCAAAGCCGAAGGGGUUCGGGGCAGGAUCUGGUCAAUACCUUGCUUACGGGCUGCUGGCCUGCAGCUCCAGGUGGGGUUUGGCAUUUCAGCUCGGCGAGGCCCUUCCUCUGCAGUUUGUCAUCGUUUUCCCCAGCGGUUCCUCUCCGUCUGCACAUCUCUUGGAUCUUUGGAGCGGGAGAUGGAGAGGGGUGACAGACCACGAGCUGCCUUGGUCUCCUGCCCUUUCCCCGGGGAACCCGCGCUUGUUGCUGCGCUCGGCGAGCAUCUGUGAUACAGUAACCCGAUUUGGCACGCCGUCGUGGCCUGGAUUCGGGCUCCUUCCCUUCCCAGCACCGUUCCUGGGGGAGUCACGGGUGAGCGGCGCGGCUCCUGGGCCUGCAGGGGCUCUGGCUCCGUCCUCUGAGCGCGUGUCAGCCCUUGGACGCCGGCACCGGGGCGGUGAUGCUGACGGGAACCGCUUGUGACGGCGCCGUGUUUGAAGCCUUCACUUCUCCAGCAGGAUCAUUUGAGGGAUUUCUUCUGGUUGCUCUCCAGGAGGAGGCUGUCACAUCCCAGGAGAUCGGGAGCUGGGUUGGAGGCAGAGCGGGCUCUUCGUAUCCGGUAUUAAAGCGGGGCUGCCCGGCUCGGGGCUCCCCGCUUCCAGCCUUGGAGAGGGGCUUGGGGAGGGAAUCGGGCUUGGAUCAGCCCAAAAUUUGCCCUGGGAAUGCAGAGAGCACACCAUGGAGCGCGGUCCGGGCUCGUGGCUCCAAGUCUUGAGGGGAUAACGGCCACGCUGGGGUGAGGUUCUGGUGGUGGCUGUGUUGAAACGGCGCUCGUUGCUUGUGCUGCUGAGUGCUUUGAUCCCAACGAGUUUGGUUUUUACAGAGGCUUGACAAAAAUCGCCUUUUCUGGAUAAAAGCAGUAGAGCUGUGUGCUCGGGGGCUCGAUUCGGUGCCUCUGCUCCCAGGGCUUCGCUGGCACAUCGCUGGGUUUUCUGUAACAACCGAGGGGCAGAGGAGCUCUGCUGAGGUGUGCACGUUUUCUGUUUGUGCUGGGCUCCAUCUAAUCCCUUUUCCCGAAUACCUUGAUCCUUCGGAUCCUUUUCCCCAGGAAUGUCACAAGUGCAGCAAAAUCCUCUUCUCCGCAUCCGCGGAAGCCCGCUCCUCCCCUUCCUCAGCUGCCCUGGUGCUGCUCUGCAUUCAGUUAACAAAUCUGCUAGGUUUCCUGGCUAAUCCCUUACAUUCAGGUCGCUCCUUCCCCUCCCGGCACCACACGUUUUUCCUUCAACCUCGACAAAGGAAAUGGUGCAAGGACUUUUGGGGGAGGCAAAGUCUGGCCCGGAGAGGACCUGCGUGUGCUCAGGCUCGUUCGCCUGCUGCGUGCGCUCGCGUUUUGCUUACGUGAGCUAUUAUAUCUGUUACAGAUGAGGAAACGUGCUGCUCGGACUGCAAAUAUUCCAGCAAGGAGCCGUCGCCCUCGUUAGCCGGUGGCGGUUUUCGGCUCGGAGGGCGCCCGGACCUCUGGGUGCAGCUGUUGCAACGAAUAAGAAGCGAGAGGCCUCUCCCUGCAGGGCCAUUUUGUGAAAGCUGCCUCUCAGCGUGGCGUCCGCCCAGGGAGCGUCUUUUGCUUCCGAUAGUUCUACAAACAUAACCCUUAAUUGGAUCAUCAACUGGAUCUAAUUUGCCGAGCGCGCCUCCCCCCCGCGCUUCAUUUACGGGUCUGGGCAGCCGAGCGGCGUGCGCGCCCGCUGCCAGCUGCGGGAGAGCUGCUGGCAGCUUCCAAGGACGCCGCCGGAGCAUUUAGCCCUGCUGUAAUGAACUUUCCUGCUAAUUAUUUUUAGGGAGCUUAAAGGACAGCCAGCUCUUGCUGCUGUGGCCCGGCUGGAGGGCACGGGACAGGGAGCGUGCACGGGUACAGCGUGGAGGGACGCGAUGUUCUGCACCGGGCUCUUCCUCCAAAAGGGGCUAGAGAGAACCAAGGUGGUUUUUGGUUUUUUUUUCCUAUAUUUUAGCCCAAAACACAUUGACCGCAGCCCAGCCAGGCUCGCAGGACAUUACCAGGCUUGCAAACUCAUGCUGGAAGGGUGGGAGCUGUGCCUGCAGCGGUGAAUUAUCAGAGAGCAGCAAGUCACAGGGGCUGCUGAGUGCUUGGAGAGCAGGGGAGGGAAAUCUGGCCUUCAAAACGCAGCUGAGGCUGAAUUCCUUGGGGCAUUCGCCACCUCUGGUCUCUGCCCACGUGAGCAGCAGGGAAGGACCCGAGCGGGGAGCCGGCGGCGCCGCGUGCCGCCCGGCUGCUCUAUAAUGGAUGGGGAGCAUGCUUUAUUCAUGUUCAGCAGCACGGGCGAGGAUUCAGGUCACUGUUUCCACGAAAGGGCUUGAAGAAUGUUUAAAUGUGACAAAGACUCCGGUGGUUUCAGUGGAGUGAGGGCUCCUUGUCCCCCUCCUGCCUCUCCAUGGGCACCUGGCUGUGAGCAUAGGGAGCCUUUUGCCCUUGUGCGAUGCCAAACUUCCCCUUUUGCUUUUAGAAGUGUUGCUUUGUUUUCUUUUUCCACCCCAAAUGCGUCACAGCUGCUUUCCUUCUCGUAGUUCUGCUUCCUAUAGGAUUUGGGCAGGGAACUG